rnacentral:rRNA from 1 species
GACGAACGCUGGCGGCGUGCUUAACACAUGCAAGUCGAACGAAGUGGCGAACGGGUGAGUAACGCGUAAUCAACCGGCCCUUCAGAGGGGGACAACAGUUGGAAACGACUGCUAAUACCGCAUACGGAAGGAGGGGAUUGCGUUUGAUUAGUGAGUUGGAGGGUUAACGGCCCAGCAAGGCGAUGAGCAGUAGCCGUUCUUGGAGGAUGAUCGGCCCCAUGUGGACUGAUACACGGCCCAGACUCCUACGGGAAGCAGCAUUGGGGAUUCUUCCGCAAUGGACGAAAGUCUGACGGAGCAACGCCGCGUGAUUGAUGACGGCCUUCGGGUUGUAAAUCUCUGUUAAUCGGGACGCGGUACCGGAAUAGAAAGCCACGGCUAACUACGUGCCAGCCGCCGCGGUAAUUC